rnacentral:rRNA from 1 species
AUUGAACGCUGGCGGCAGGCCUAACACAUGCACGUCGAACGAGUGGCGGACGGGUGAGUAAUGUCUGGGAAACUGCCUGAUGGAGGGGGAUAACUACUGGAAACGGUAGCUAAUACCGCAUACCAACGGAUGAACCCAUAUGGGAUUAGCUAGUAGGUGGGGUAAUGGCUCACCUAGGCGACGAUCCCUAGCUGGUCUGAGCGGAUGAACAGCCACACUGUGGCUGAGACACGGCCCAGACUCCUACGGGAGGCAGCAGGGGGGAAUAUUGCACAAUGGGAGCAAGCCUGAUGCAGCCAUGCCGCGUGUAUGAAGAAGGCCCUAGGGUUGUAAAGUACUUUCAGUCGGGAGGCGUUACCGACAGAAGAAGCACCGGCUAACUCCGUGCCAGCAGCCGCGGUAAUAC